AUUGAACGCUGGCGGCAUGCUUUACACAUGCAAGUCGAACGGCAGCGCGGGCUUCGGCCUGGCGGCGAGUGGCGAACGGGUGAGUAAUGCAUCGGAACGUGCCCAGUAGUGGGGGAUAGCCCGGCGAAAGCCGGAUUAAUACCGCAUACGACCUGAGGGUGAAAGCGGGGGACCGAAAGGCCUCGCGCUAUUGGAGCGGCCGAUGUCCGAUUAGCUAGUUGGUGGGGUAAAGGCUUACCAAGGCGACGAUCCGUAGCUGGGCUGAGAGGACGACCAGCCACACUGGGACUGAGACACGGCCCAGACUCCUACGGGAGGCAGCAGUGGGGAAUUUUGGACAAUGGGGGCAACCCUGAUCCAGCCAUGCCGCGUGCGGGAAGAAGGCCUGCGGGUUGUAAACCGCUUUUGUUCGGGAAGAAAUCCUCUGGGCUAAUACCCCGGGGGAUGACGGUACCGGAAGAAUAAGCACCGGCUAACUACGUG
rnacentral:rRNA from 1 species